GGCACUGUGGCGGAGUGGUUAACGCGUUUGCCUCGAACGUUACGUUUUUCGUAACCAUCUUUGUAUGGAGAUUAGCAAAUUCCUUCGGGAGCGUGUGUUCGAAUCACACCGGUGUCG
rnacentral:tRNA from 2 species